CCUACGGGAGGCAGCAGUGAGGAAUAUUGGUCAAUGGACGGGAGUCUGAACCAGCCAUGCCGCAUGAAGGAUGACUGCCCUAUGUGUUGUAAACUUCUUUUAUAUGGGAAUAAAAUGUUCCACGUGUCGGAUUUUGUAUGUACCAUAUGAAUAAGGAUCGGCUAACUCCGUGCCAGCAGCCGCGGUAAUACGGAGGAUCCGAGCGUUAGCCGGAUUUAUUGGGUUUAAAGGGAGCGUAGGUGGAUUGGUAAGUCAGUGGUGAAAGUUUGCGGCUCAACCGUAGAAUUGCAGUUGAAACUGGCAGUCUUGAGUACAGUAGAGGUGGGCGGAAUGCGUGGUGUAGCGGUGAAAUGCUUAGAUAUCACGAAGAACUCCGAUUGCGAAGGCAGCUCACUGGACUGCAACUGACACUGAGGCUCGAAAGUGUGGGUAUCAAACAGGAUUAGAUACCCGUGUAGUC
rnacentral:rRNA from 1 species